UACAGAGGUCUCAAGCGUUGUUCGGAUUCAUUGGGCGUAAAGGGUGUGUAGGUGGCGCGCUAAGUCAGGUGUGAAAUUUCGGAGCUUAACUCCGAAACUGCAUUUGAUACUGGCGUGCUUGAGGACUGGAGAGGAGACUGGAAUUUACGGUGUAGCAGUGAAAUGCGUAGAUAUCGGAAGGAAGACCAGUGGCGAAGGCGGGUCUCUGGACAGUUCCUGACACUGAGACACGAAGGCCAGGGGAGCAAACGGG
rnacentral:rRNA from 1 species